rnacentral:rRNA from 1 species
UUUUCCUACGGGGGGCAGCAGUGGGGAAUUUUCGGCAAUGGGCGAAAGCCUGACCGAGCCCCGCCGCUUUCCCGAAGAAGGUCUUCGGAUUGUAAAGUUCUGUUAUAGAGGAAGAAUGGUGUACGAAGGAAAUGGCGUACAAAUGACGGUACUCUGUGAGGAAGCCACGGCUAACUACGUGCCAGCAGCCGCGGUAAUACGUAGGUGGCGAGCGUUAUCCGGAAUCAUUGGGCGUAAAGAGGGAGCAGGCGGCCUGGAGGGUCUAUUGUUAAAAGGCAAUGGCUUAAC